rnacentral:rRNA from 1 species
AAAAUCUAAGGAAAAUCUAAGGUGUAACCUGCUCAGUGAUCUUUAAUUAUAAAUUUAAAGGACUAAUAAUAAGAUUAAAAGGACGCGGUAACCUUGACCGUGAUAAUGUAGCAUAAUCAUUCGCCACUUAAUUGGUGGAUAGUAUGAAUGGUAGAACGAAUAUUCCACUGUCUUAAAGAAAACUAAUAAAAUUGAAAUAAUAGUUAAGAUGCUAUUUAAAACUGUAAGACGAAAAGACCCUAUAGAGUUUGACUAUAAUCUCUUUUAUAAAAAUAUAAAAAAAUAAUUUAUUAAUUAUAGAGAUUGUUAGUUUAGUUGGGGCGACUAUCUUCUAAAAAUAACGAAGAUAAGCAAGAUAAGCAAUGUUAAUAAAAAACUUAUUGUAUAAUAAAAAUAUUUAACAAUUAUUAUAUAAGGCUAUAGUGACUCGUUAAUUCUAAUAAAAAAGAUUAACGAUCAGUUGAUAAAAGCUACCUUGGGGAUAACAGGAUUAUUUCAUUUUAGAGUUCCCAUCAAAAAUGAAGUUUGUCACCUCUAUGAAUUAAGAUGUCCUGGUAAUGCAGCAAUUACCAAAGGUUGUCUGUUCGACCUU